GCCCUCUUAGCUCAGUGGUAGAGCACCUCCAUGGUAAGGAGGGGGUCCGGGGUUCAAUCCCCCGAGAGGGCU
rnacentral:tRNA from 1 species